AUUGAACGCUGGCGGCAUGCCUUACACAUGCAAGUCGAACGGUAACAGGUUAAGCUGACGAGUGGCGAACGGGUGAGUAAUGUAUCGGAACGUGCCCAGUCGUGGGGGAUAACUACUCGAAAGAGUGGCUAAUACCGCAUACGACCUGAGGGUGGAAGCGGGGGACCGUAAGGCCUCGCGCGAUUGGAGCGGCCGAUAUCAGUUUAGCUAGUUGGUAGGGUAAAAGCCCACCAAGGCGAGGAUCUGUAGCUGGUCUGAGAGGACGACCAGCCACACUGGGACUGAGACACGGCACAGACUCCGAAGGGAGGCAGCAGGGGGGAAUGUUGGAAAAUGGACGCAAGUCUGAUCCAGCCAUGCCGCGUGCGGGAAGAAGGCCUUCGGGUUGUAAACCGCUUUUGUCAGGGAAGAAACGAGUUUCUCUAAUACAGAGACUUAAUGACGGUACCUGAAGAAUAAGCACCGGCUAACUACGUGCCAGCCGCCGCCGUAACAC
rnacentral:rRNA from 1 species